CGGGGACGGGGACGGGUAGGUAAGUUAUGUCGGUAAGGAAGCGCGAUGGAGGGGGAUAACUACUGGAAACGGUAGCUAAUACCGCAUAACGUCGCAAGACCAAAGAGGGGGACCUUCGGGCCUCUUGCCAUCGGAUGUGCCCAGAUGGGAUUAGCUAGUAGGUGGGGUAACGGCUCACCUAGGCGACGAUCCCUAGCUGGUCUGAGAGGAUGGCCAGCCACACUGGAACUGAGACACGGUCCAG
rnacentral:rRNA from 1 species